GAUGAACGCUGGCGGCGUGCCUAAUACAUGCAAGUCGAGCGAACAGACGAGGAGCUUGCUCCUCUGACGCUAGCGGCGGACGGGUGAGUAACACGUGGAUAACCUACCUAUAAGACUGGGAUAACUUCGGGAAACCGGAGCUAAUACCGGAUAAUAUAUUGAACCGCAUGGUUCAAUAGUGAAAGACGGUUUUGCUGUCACUUAUAGAUGGAUCCGCGCCGCAUUAGCUAGUUGGUAAGGUAACGGCUUACCAAGGCAACGAUGCGUAGCCGACCUGAGAGGGUGAUCGGCCACACUGGAACUGAGACACGGUCCAGACUCCUACGGGAGGCAGCAGUAGGGAAUCUUCCGCAAUGGGCGAAAGCUUGACGGAGCAACGCCGCGUGAGUGAUGAAGGUCUUCGGAUCGUAAAACUCUGUUAUUAGGGAAGAACAAAUGUGUAAGUAACUAUGCACGUCUUGACGGUACCUAAUCAGAAAGCCACGGCUAACUACGUG
rnacentral:rRNA from 1 species